UUGCCAGACUCCUACGGGAGGCAGCAGUGGGGAAUAUUGCACAAUGGGGGGAACCCUGAUGCAGCGACGCCGCGUGGGUGAAGGAGUACUUCGGUACGUAAAGCCCUAUCAGCAGGAAAGAAAAUGACGGUACCUGACUAAGAAGCCCCGACUAACUACGUGCCAGCAGCCGCGGUAAUACGUAGGGGGCAAGCGUUAUCCGGAUUUACUGGGUGUAAAGGGAGCGUAGACGGCAGUGCAAGUCCGGAGUGAAAGCCCGGGGCUCAACCCUGGGACUGCUCUGGAAACUGUGCAGCUCGAGUGCAGGAGAGGUAAGCGGAAUUCCUAGUGUAGCGGUGAAAUGCGUAGAUAUUAGGAGGAACACCAGUGGCGAAGGCGGCUUACUGGACUGUAACUGACGUUGAGGCUCGAAAGCGUGGGGAGCAAACAGGAUUAGAUACCCUUGUA
rnacentral:rRNA from 1 species